rnacentral:rRNA from 1 species
AAAGGCGUAGUCGAUGGGAAACAGGUUAAUAUUCCUGUACUUGGUGUUACUGCGAAGGGGGGACGGAGAAGGCUAUGUUAGCCGGGCGACGGUUGUCCCGGUUUAAGCAUGUAGGCUGGUUAUCCAGGCAAAUCCGGAUAAUCAAGGCUGAGGUGUGAUGACGAAGCACUACGGUGCUGAAGUAACAAAUGCCCUGCUUCCAGGAAAAGCCUCUAAGCAUCAGGUAACAUCAAAUCGUACCCCAAACCGACACAGGUGGUCAGGUAGAGAAUACCAAGGCGCUUGAGAGAACUCGGGUGAAGGAACUAGGCAAAAUGGUGCCGUAACUU